rnacentral:rRNA from 1 species
UACGGAGGGUGCAAGCGUUAAUCGGAAUUACUGGGCGUAAAGCGCACGUAGGUGGUUUGUUAAGCUAGCUGUGAAAUCCCCGGGCUCAACCUGGGCACUGCAGUUAGAACUGGCAAGCUAGAGUAGGGUAGAGGGGUGUGGAAUUCCAGGUGUAGCGGUGAAAUGCGUAGAUAUCUGGAGGAACACCGGUGGCGAAGGCGGCAUCCUGGACCGGCAUUGACGCUGAGGCGCGAAAGCCAGGGGAGCGAACAGG